CAGCAGCCGCGGUAACACGUAGGGUGCGAGCGUUAAUCGGAAUUACUGGGCGUAAAGCGUGCGCAGGCGGUUGUGUAAGACAGGUGUGAAAUCCCCGGGCUUAACCUGGGAACUGCGCUUGUGACUGCACAGCUAGAGUAUGGCAGAGGGGGGUGGAAUUCCACGUGUAGCAGUGAAAUGCGUAGAGAUGUGGAGGAACACCGAUGGCGAAGGCAGCCCCCUGGGCCAAUACUGACGCUCAUGCACGAAAGCGUGGGGAGCAAACAAGAUUAGAUACCCCCGUAGUCCCUGUCUCUUAUAC
rnacentral:rRNA from 1 species